rnacentral:misc_RNA from 1 species
UCCGGUUUGGCACCGGCAGUCCCUCUAGAGUCCUCGGCUUUACCCGUUAGUAACUAAAGAAAGGGGUUGCGCUCGUUGCGGGACUUAACCCAACAUCUCACGACACGAGCUGACGGCAGCCAUGCAGCACCUCUGUGGCGGCCCCCGAAGGGGAAGCCCUGUUUCCAGAGCGGUCCACCACAGUUCAAGCAUAGGUAAGGUUCUUCGCGUUGCGUCGAAUUAAACCACAUGCUCCACCGCUUGUGCGGGCCCCCGUCAAUUCCUUUGAGUUUCAGCCUUGCGGCCGUACUCCCCAGGCGGGGUACUUCCUGCGUUAGCGCCGGCACCCAAGGGGUCGCUCCCCCAGGCACCUAGUACCCAUCGUUUACGGCGUGGACUAC